ACUCUCUGAACAAUCUCCAGCAGCCUGUCGCAGAUCUGAGUCAGGGGCGAUUGCUGUCAUUGGUGAGGAUGCAUCAUCCGUUGAGGGUCAUGUGAAUGCCUUGCAUAUCCAGUACAGCAAGGUGCGACCAGACACCUUGGUGGUCAAAGACCGAAUGCAGCGAACCUUUGCGUGGCGAAGAAGGGAGAUAAGAGAUGGAAUGACUGUGGAGGAUAUACUUAAGAAGUACCCUUUCUUAAAAACACCCUCAGGGUUGUGUGAUGAAGUUGACCGAAUGCAUUCAUCAACUGUCAGUUUAAGACAGCGCUUCAAGGACGGCUUUACCAGUAUUGUGCCAAAGGUGCUUGAGCUUGUUCAAAGAAAUGCUCCAUUGGCCA